AUCCUCUUGCCCCUAUGACAUGUCCCAGCCUGGGCUGAGGUUUUACUUCCAGAGGCCCUGCCCUCCAGGGCUCUGAUGUCUGUGCAGCCACCUCAGUCUGCUCCCACAGGAAGGUACCAUCACUUGCAACCAGAAGCCAUGCCCAAGAGGACCCUGCCCUGAGCCAGGAGCAUGCUGCCCGCACUGUGAGCCAGGCUGUGAUUAUGAGGGGCAGCUUUAUGAGGAGGGGGGCACCUUCCUGUCCAGCUCCAACCCUUGUCUGCAGUGCACCUGCCUGAGGAGCCGAGUUCACUGCAUGCCCCUGAAGUGCCCGCCCAGCCCCUGCCCAGAGCCAGUGCUGAGGCCUGGGCACUGCUGCCCAACCUGCCAAGGCUGCACAGAAGGUGGCUCUCACUGGGAACAUGGCCAAGAGUGGACAACACCUGGGGACCCCUGCCGAAUCUGCCGGUGCCUGGAGGGUCACAUCCAGUGCCGCCAGCGAGAAUGUGCCAGCCUGUGUCCAUACCCAGCCCGGCCCCUCCCAGGCACCUGCUGCCCUGUGUGCGAUGAAUGGGAGUGUCCAGUGUGAGCCUCUGCCCUGCCCGCCAGUGCCCUGCAGACACCCAGGCAGGAUCCCUGGGCAGUGCUGCCCUGUCUGCGAUGGCUGUGAGUACCAGGGACACCAGUAUCAGAGCCAGGAGACCUUCAGACUCCAAGAGCGGGGCCUGUGUGUCCGCUGCUCCUGCCAGGUAGGCGGUCCCUCCGCUCACACCCAGAUCUGCCUCAUUCCUUCAGGGUGUCUCACCUGCUUCCCUCCUAGGCUGGCGAGGUCUCCUGUGAGGAGCAGGAGUGCCCAGUCACCCCCUGUGCCCUGCCUGCCUCUGGCCUCCAGCUCUGCCCAGCCUGUGAGCUGGAUGGAGAGGAGUUUGCUGAGGGAGUCCAGUGGGAGCCUGAUGGUCGGCCCUGCACCGCCUGCAUCUGUCAAGAUGGGGUACCCGAGUGCGGGGCUGUGCUCUGCCCCCCAGCCCCCUGCCAGCACCCCACCCAGCCCCCUGGUGCCUGCUGCCCCAGCUGUGACAGCUGCACUUACCACAGCCAAGUGUAUGCCAAUGGGCAGAACUUCACGGAUGCAGACAGCCCUUGCCAUGCCUGCCACUGUCAGGAUGGAACUGUGACAUGCUCCUUGGUUGACUGCCCUCCCACGACCUGUGCCAGGCCCCAGAGUGGACCAGGCCAGUGUUGCCCCAGGUGCCCAGACUGCAUCCUGGAUGAAGAGGUGUUUGUGGACGGCGAGAGCUUCUCCCACCCCCGAGACCCCUGCCAGGAGUGCCGAUGCCAGGAAGGUCAUGCCCACUGCCAGCCUCGCGCCUGCCCCAGGGCCCCCUGUGCCCAUCCGCUGCCUGGGACCUGCUGCCCGAACGACUGCAGCGGCUGUGCCUUUGGCGGGAAAGAGUACCCCAGCGGAGCGGACUUCCCCCACCCCUCUGACCCCUGCCGUCUGUGUCGCUGUCUGAGCGGCAACGUGCAGUGCCUGGCCCGCCGCUGCGCGCCGCUGCCCUGUCCAGAGCCUGUCCUGCUGCCGG
rnacentral:lncRNA from 1 species